rnacentral:lncRNA from 1 species
CAAAAUCUCUUCAGGUUUUGUGUUGGUCAGAACAUAUUUGUGCUACAGCUAGGUUUAUCAGAGCAAUACAAAAAGACAUAAUGGCGGGUUGAUUUGGACCAUUUUAUUUUUGUCCUUCCCCAAACCAUCUGGCGUGUGAGUGUAGGGGUAUUGAUCAGGAUCUGUGAGCUGCAGACCCCAUGCCAAUCCAUAGCGUUUCUGGCAAUCAGCGUCGCCCAUGAAUUGCAGCUGUUCUGUGCAGCUCCCGAACAGAAAUCUUCAAAAAAAGUCCCCCCCUUAUCAAACACAUCAUCCAUUCGGGGGUCCCUCUCUCCCAGAUGGUCCUGAGUGC